rnacentral:lncRNA from 1 species
AUUUUAUUGAAACAUGUAUCUACAAAUCAGAAACUACAUACAUGGAACAGAACUCACAAAUAUAUACUUCCCCACAUUACAUAUUCACUAAAACCAUUUCAAUAUAAUAAAAUAAAGGAUAUGCACAUGAGAAUAACUGAAAAAACAAUUCUGUGAACUUUUAAAUGUACAAGAUGACUACUCCUUUUGUAAAUUCAUAGAAAUCAGUGACUUGCUAUAGGAAACUCAAAAAUAAUUUUCCACCAAUCAAAAAAAAAAUAUAAAAGGAGACUCACAGUCAUGACAGUGACAAUAGUAAAAUGUACUUAACAUUUUCUUAAUUCUCUUUUGAAUAUAGUUUUUGAGGAGUUCUAGAUGCAAAGAGUUGAGGGAGGGACACACAAAACAAGUAAAAAUAUCACUAUUUAUAUACCACACUUUUAAUUGAGUGGGGUAUAAUAAACUAAUAAAAACAUAACAUUGAAUGCAUAUACAGGUAAAUUACUCAUUCAACUAACUCAUAAUCUCAUACAGAUACAACACUAAUAGAAAACAGCAUUAAUAGUAAAAAAAAGUAUUGAAGUAAAACUGGAAAAAAAUAACUUUGUAGUUUAUGUAGCAUUAAAAUUAUGUGAACACAAAGUGGUAUAACCCUACUUGGAGCUUUGUCUACCUGUUUCAUGAGAAUAUCAGCCUGAACACAAACUGAUAUUUAUCAUUGAAGGGAAUGGUCCUAACAAUAUUCAACUGUUGCCUUUCCCAAAACAUCAACAAAAUGUCAACGGUUCUACUAAAGUGAAAUACAAAUGAAAGCAAUUAAAUAUUUGUUUUAAAUAUCCAUCAUUUGGAAGAAAGAAUGAAACCUACAAUGACAAUUGGUAUUCAAAAUCCUAUGAAAGUUAUGUCAUGUAUGUUGCUGUCAUGAGUUAUGGAUACAAUAAUUUGUUUGGAGUAAUAAUAAUCCCAUAUACAAUAUUACUGCAACAUGUACAUAUAAAAGAUAGAAAAACAGUAAAAGUCAUCACAUAAACAAAAUAGUUUGAAUGGAAUACACAGACAAAAUGAAAUGAAUGUUGUAGCUAUGUUUCUAUUAUGAUGUGGUGUACAUUUAAACUACUAGUAAUAUAUUUUGUACAUAAAGAGGCAUAACUCUAAGUGUAAAACUGUCUCAUUCGAUUUAUAUAGUUAACUUACAGACGAAAUACAUUCAAGAAAUUGUAAACUUUUUUUCAGACUUAUAAGAAACUUGCAAUCAACAGUGGAAGGCAUUUGAGACAAUGACUUUUCAGGAACUUCCUGUCAAUAAUUCUUAUAAAUUAAAAAUUCAAUUGCAUAUACUUAGUAAAUUUAAUUUUUAUAAUCUUGUUGAAGACAACCAUACAAUUUACAGCAUUGCUGCAUGUUUGUAUGAGGUUCACAUUAACAUGAUUAAGUGACUUUUAAAUGCUUUAAAUCCAAUUUCAAUUCUUUAAAUGCUGAAUACAAUACAAUAUUUAUUUUCCAAAUUUAAAGGGCCA